CCUACGGGAGGCAGCAGUGGGGAAUAUUGGACAAUGGGGGGAACCCUGAUCCAGCCAUGCCGCGUGUGUGAAGAAGGCCCUCGGGUUGUAAAGCACUUUCAGUGAGGAAGAACGCCUGGUGGUUAAUACCCAUCAGGAAAGACAUCACUCACAGAAGAAGCACCGGCUAACUCCGUGCCAGCAGCCGCGGUAAUACGGAGGGUGCGAGCGUUAAUCGGAAUUACUGGGCGUAAAGCGCGCGUAGGUGGCUUGAUAAGCCGGUUGUGAAAGCCCCGGGCUCAACCUGGGAACGGCAUCCGGACCUGUCAAGCUAGAGUGCAGGAGAGGAAGGUAGAAUUCCCGGUGUAGCGGUGAAAUGCGUAGAGAUCGGGAGGAAUACCAGUGGCGAAGGCGGCCUUCUGGACUGACACUGACACUGAGGUGCGAAAGCGUGGGUAGCAAACAGGAUUAGAUACCCUGGUAGUC
rnacentral:rRNA from 1 species